AUCGAGGGUGUAAAGUCAGCAUCGAUGAGUGUUUUUAGGAAACUUUAUGUGCAAAAGUGCAAUUUCUGUCAUUCUUCAUGUAAAAUUCAUCAUGUCAAAUAAGGGUGAAUGUCAAAAAUACUUUUUUUGAUUCAGAAUUAAUGUGGGGGUUGGGGUGAAAGCCCCCAGCCUCCUGCUCUACUGUGUCUGUAAAUUGUAUUCCUUUCCUGGAAAAUAUAUAAACAUUAAAAAAAAUAAAAAAAUUGCUGCCUUCCUGGAAAAUAUAUUUUUAAAAAGAAAUUUUGCUACAAAUUUUAACUCCCAAACUCCUCCCUGCAUGGCUGGGGGUGGGGGGUGGCUCUGAAGGUGUCAAGAGUUGUGAACUGUUUUUCAUAUAUUGUUUACUUACGUUAAAUUCCAAAAUCAUUAUGUCUUGACAGAUUUGCAGUCACCAGAUAUGGAGCUGAAAGCUUGUGCUUGAGGUCAGAAAUUUCAUCUGAUCUCGAGAGAUUCUUUGGUGGUCAUCCACAAGGAUCUUCCUCUCACUGUAACUCACAGUAACACCUGCACAGAGGUGUAUAGCAGUGAAGUUGUACUGGCGGGGUCUGAUCUGCAUGGUUUAAUUGAUGAUCCUGCUGACCGUUCUAUUGAGUUUAUUCCUGCCUCUCUACAGGAAAGGAUACUACUGAUUCAGGAUGCAGGCAAGUGGUGGGAAGAGAAAGGCUGACAAGUCAGAUGGAGGUCAGGAGGAAGAUGAAUGGGUCGCUGAUCCCGAGUUUGAAGGACCUUCGUGGAUUCUACACUUCGGAAAAGGAGGUGGCACUGAGGAUGAUGACAGACCAGGAUACAGCAAGAAGAUUCAAAAGAAAAGCAAAUUUGAAUCUGGUAACCAACAGCAGAAUGAGAAAUCUAAUCAAAACCAAGGCAACAAUGGCCAGAAAAGAGGCCGGGGUGGAGGACAAGCUCGGCAGGGUGGUGCUCAGAGAGGUCAAUUUGGAGGGGGGUUUCAAAGAGGACAGAGACGGGGGAUACGUGGCAAUCAUAUGGCAGGAUUUGGUAGAGGUGGCAAUCAAGGGGGAGGGUUUGGAGGUGGUGGCAAUCAAUGGGGAGGAUUUGGAGGUGGUGGCAAUCAAGGGGGAGGAUUUGGAGGUGGUGGCAAUCAAGGGGGAGGAUUUGUAAGAUGUGGCAAUCAAGGGGGAGGAUUUGCAAGAGGUGGCAAUCAAGGGGAAGGAUUUGCAAGAGGUGGCAAUCAAGGGGGAGGAUUUGCAAGAGGUAGCAAUCGAGGGGGAGGAUUUGGAGGUGGUGGCAAUCGAGGGGGAGGAUUUGGAGGUGGCAAUCAAGGGGGAGGAUUUGGAGGUGGUGGCAAUCAAGCGGGAGGAUUUGGAGGUUGUUGCAGUAAGAGGGGAUUUGGAGGUGGCGGCUAUAAAAGAGGACAUGGUGGAAGGGGAGGAUUUGGGGGUGAUACUCAAGGAGCAGAAUUUGGAGGUGACAUGCAAAAUCAGUGGGAAUUUGCAAAUGCGGGUUUGAAUGGCCAACGCUUUGGUUUCAACCGAGGUUUCAACUACAAUGGAGCUGAACAAGAAGCAUUUCCCUUUAAUGAGGAUCCUCAGUUUGACUAUGGUCAAGAAAAUUGCUAUGGUGAUUUUAUGGAUGACGAUAAUGAUGAAACGUUUCAACAACGAAACAGAGUUUGUCCUUCGUUUGUCUGGGAUCCGUCUACAGGACAGCUGAUGUCCGUACAACAAGAACUUGAUCCUAGCAUCGCCAAACUGAGUACACUGGACAGGAUGAAGCUGUUUGUCAAUUAUUUACGUAACACAAAAUGCAGUCGUCGUGAACAAGACAGCCCAAUCAUGGUUAUUGAAAAUGGACUGAGUGCCUCGAAAGUUGGCUUCCGGGCUUACUUUGAAGUUGAGCUGCUGAUGCGUUUUUACGGGCGUGCGAUGUUUACGGGCGUGUUGUACAUCGAUGAGUUCUUCAUGGCACGGUCUGUGGCCGUGAACAAGAAACAGGUGAAGACCGAGUGUUUCGAGAAAGCCUUAGAGCACCUGUACCGGAAACCACUGCAGUACCUUUUGUCCAUGAAUGAUGUUGGUGCCGAUGCUGUGAGGAAUGAACUGAGAUCCAUUUAUCAAGACCUCACUCCUGACACCUUUCCUCUGGAAGCCAAACGAGCACUGGACGUUCUCAAUCAAGCCGCGAGUGCAGGAAGGAAGAAAUUUGCCCGGAAGGCGGGUCUGUUUAACCUGGAGAGCGGCCUGGCCAAACUGAUCACCUUCCUGAAGUACACGAACCAGGUGACUCCGAACGCGGUGUGCCGGAUAACACAGGCGUUCACGUCGUCCAAGUGCAACCUGUGCCACAACUACGAGGAGGACAUGCUGCGGCUGAAGACUGGCCAGAUGUGGUUCAAGGGCCGGAUGUACGUGGGCGACAUCAUCGUGGCCGGGGCGGGCGACUACAAGAAGAAGCUGGCCAAGGAGAAGACGUACCAGCGAGCCGUGGACGCUCUCCUCAACAAGCCCCUCGAGACCGUGCUCAGGGGGGUGUCGUUGCUGGAGCUGGACGACGCCCCGCCCGACUUCGAGACCGCGGGGCAACUGAGUGGGGACGUCGACACGGCGAAGACGACCAAACGACUGGAGAAACUGACCGCUCUUCUUAAACCGGAAACAGAUAAAGAAGAUCUGGUCGCGCACAUGGACAUGGCGUGUAACACUGUUCAACUGCUGCCCACGUGCCUGUUCCGUCGGGACUCCAAGAAAUGGAAUAUCUGUCUUGUCUGCGAGUUGUACUUGGACAGUAUCUUGAUAGCUUCGGGUGAAGGAGACAAGAGGAAAACAGCUCAGCAGUCCGCCUACUCUAACGCCUGCAAGGUUAUUGUUGGUAAGACACCCGAGGGGAUCAUCAAGGACGCAAGACGGCUGACGAAGGAAGAGAUGUGUUUGCCAGACAUCAUGGAGGUCAGCGUCAAGGGCCAGAGCCGGUGGGGGGAUUCGAACAUCACCAAGCUGAAGAGGCUGGGGAUCGAACCAAGCCUGACGACAUAUGGGGUUUCCGAUUUCGUCAUCAUGGAGCAUUACGACUGGUCCAAGGACCGCACGAAGAAUGCCUUCAUGAUCCUCAGUCAGAGCGCCACUCAGAACGGGAUGCUCCUAGAGUGGAACAUCUCGCCCAACCAAAACCUCUUUAAGUGCUCCAUGAGGCUUCAAGGCCAGGACAUUGGAGAUGCGUCGGCUUCGGCCAAGCAGAAUGCUCGCAACCUAGCCGCCAUGGACUCGCUGUUUCGACUCUACGAGACGCAGCCUGUAAUUAGGUCUCUUCAGAGAAACGAGACUCAAUACUGGAACUCCUAUGAGUCAAUCAAGGUUCAGGCUCAGCGACUGAAGCAAGUCAGUGGUUGCCUUGGCGAUGACCUCGAUGAGUGGGUCGAUUGUACAGAGUCCGUACCAGAGACGCCCAUGGACAUCAAUGACAUACAUAGAGUCGAACUGAGAGACUCACUCUGCGAACCUGUUAAUAAGUGGAUUUUACAGGUUCUUACCAACAUCGUCUCGCAGUACCCAAAGAUCGAGACACUGGAGGACCUGCUGUUUGGACCGGGCUUCCCGCUGGGUGAGCGGAAGAAGAUAACUCUGAUGUGUCGCGAGCACGGGCUCAAGUACAUCUCGCGCCAGUUCCGCGACCAGUCAUACACGGCGGUCUUCAAGACGUGGACCCCGCAGGACAUGGUCCGGCACCUGCAGACACACAGCGGCACCAGCGGCAAGUUCAUUCUCGUCAACCGGUACGAGCUGCCCAAACACAACGAGGCCCGUGCCUUCAUCCUCGACCAGGAGCAGAUCUCCAAGCAGAAGAUUGACGCAUGGAAGCAGUUCCAGACGUACCAGGCGAUGCCCGGCGGAAACCCGAACCCGAACCCAAACCCAAACCCCAAGCGCAGCAGCCCCCCCAGCAAUCCCGUAGCGAACGCGUCCUUCAACACCAGCACUCCCAAGAUGACGCACGUCCAACAACAGCCGUUCUUCGCCCAGAAGGCCAACUCGAUGUCGGGGGCGUUUGUGAAAGGUGGUGUGUUGGAUAGUAUGGUCGGCACCCCGAUUACGAAGAAUAAGUCUCCCAUAGAGGCGGUGGCGACGACGACAACGGCGUCUGUAGACCAGCAGUACAACUACGGGUACAGUAGUGGUGUGGCCGACGAGUUGGACACGAGUGGCACGUACAACCAGACGUCGUCAUCGUACCACACGGCCGCAACGUCCUUCCAGUCACUGCCCCUCGUGUACUCGUCUAGUGCGUCAACAUAUGCAACGCCUGACGGGAGCAACACCUACGGAAUCAGUAACCUGUUCAUGUCGUUCUAGACAGGGGUUGUUGUGCCUCUAAGUGUGCUGCUACUGACGGAAGCAACACCUACGGAAUCAGUAACCUGUUCAUGUGGUUCUAGACAGGGGUUGUUGUGCCUCUAAGUAUGCUGCUACUGACGGAAGAAACACUUUGGAAUCAGUAACCUGUUCAUGUCGUUCUAGAUAGGGAUUGUUGUGCCUCUACGUUUGCUGCUACUGACGGGAGCAACACCUACGGAAUCAGUAACCUGUUCAUGUCGUUCUAGACAGAUGUUGUUGUGCCUCUAAGUAUGCUGCUACUGACGGGAGCAACACUUAGGAAUCAGUAACCUGUUCAUGUCGUUCUAGACAGGGGUUGUUGUACCUCUACGUUUGCUGCUACUGACAGGAGCAACACCUAGGGAAUCAGUAACCUGUUCAUGUCGUUCUAGACAGGGGUUGUUCUUAGAGUAAAUUGUUAACUAGCAAUAACAUUUUCUCCUGAAAUUGUAGGUAAGUGACUGCUCUCAGUGUCUGAAUGGAAAAUAGAUCUCCAAGGUGUUGUCAGAUUUAUUUAAUAUCUAAAAAGUAUAUAGGCAGUUGACAAGAGCAGUUUUUCAUCCACAUGGAAAUUGUGUUGUGCGAGUACAGAUUGAGCGAGAGCAGUUGCUUACGUCAAACCAUAAUGACUGGUUGGUGUAUAGCAGAAAACGUCCAGUUUCUAAGUGAGUUGUCCAUCAUAUUACUGGACAGUGUUUAGGGUAUCUUUACAAGAUUUGUACUACAGCAAUAUAGGUGAAAUACUUUAAAUGUUUUAUAUUAAAUUUCAGAUCUUAUAAUUUGUAAAAGGUAAAAAUUACUCCUUGAUAUAUACAUAUCCGCGUAUGACUAAGCAUGUUCUAGUUCUUAUUAUUGGUAAGAUUUUCUCUCUUAAUCCACCACAGGCUGUAAUAAUUACAUCGUGUAAUGUCUUAUUAACAGAUUAUUUAAAACAAUUUGAAAUGAAAUUUUCUUCUGAAUUUGAUUUUUAUGCUGACUGACUAGUAUGUCUUCAUUUUUGUCUCACCUUUGCCAAGUAAAAAGAUGAGAUAGAGGUAUCACUUUUCCGAUGGCGGCAACGAUAAAGGUGUCCACUUUUAAUGUUAAAGUUCUGUGAUUAGAUCAGGGUUUUUUUAUAAACUAUAAGUCCUAGGUCAGCGAAACUUUGUUUAUAAUUCCACCUACGGAUAUUUAUCACUGUCCACCGAAAAGUUCAUGGUGGACAUUUAAUUCCACAGAAUUCUUGUUUGUUUAUUACAUCUUUUCAAAAGUAUGAAAUGAACCCUUUUCUAACUGAUUACAAUGAUUUAUUGUAAUAUUAUCCACUUUGGUUAUGUUGCUUUACCUGUUGUGGGGGUUUUUGCAAAUUUUAAUUGGCAAUUAGCAUAAUAAUCAAUGUGGGUUGUUCGUGUCCUGUUAAAUUUGUCCACCAAUUGGCAUCUAGAUUAUUCAUUGUUGUAUUAAGAUUUGUUGGAUUUUUGUUUCGCCUUUACAAAGUGAAAAGGCGAGAUAUAUGUUACAUUUACGAUUGAACAAAUCUUAAACGUUUAGUGAAUUAUUUAAAAUUAAAAUAACACAAGAUAAAUUCCAUAUAACAAAAUUUGAUUUCCCCACUCGUAUAUACUGGAUUGCAGGAUAAGAACAGUAACUCACAGAUUUUAGUAUCCUUACCGACAGCAGGGCUCACCCUGGAUCAAAAAUACCUGUAGCCAAAAUAUUAGCCAAAUGGAAUUUUUAUUAGCCAUAUUGAAAAUGCUUUAGCCAAAAUUGUUUUACCCAGUACUGUAUAGAGUAUAUAUGAAUAUGAAAAUGCAUCUUUUUCAGCUAAUUGUGUACAAACUGGAAUAAACCUGAUCAAAAUCAAAGAUAGCAAUGGGGUUAGCGGCAGUUAAUGUAUUACUUCGAUUUUUCGGGGGGGGGGGGGGGGGGUGAUUCAUUAUCUUCAGAGUUGGAAGUCAGUACCCAUACACCCUCCCCCACUUCUAAGGCCUAUGACAUUAUGGAGGGUGGGCUUUUUUCUUUUCUUCUUUCUUCCUUUUUUUCUCAAAUAAAUUUUAGUUUGAACUCAAAUCUUUAAUGACGUCGCACACAUACAAUUUGUAUGGCGUUACUGUUGCGUAAAAGUGUCAGUUUAUUAGUUUAGUCUGCACUCUAAAACUUAUCUUUUCUGACACCCAAUAGCCGAGGUGUAUUUUUGUGCUGGUGUGUUGUUGAACAUUCAUUAAUUCAGACUUUAAAACAUUUAAUAAGCAAGAAGCCAGGGAUACGUUUGACUGGAAGGUGUUAUACAAUUCAGUAUUACAUAGACUGCAAGAAGCCAGGGAUACGUUUGACUGGAAGGUGUUAUAUAAUUCAGUAUUACAUGGACUGCUGAUUACACGAGACAUUUGACUUCACCUAGGAACUAUCAACUAAUUCCUGGGCUACAUAUAGUUAUGCGUUGCUGACAUUCUUGGAUGUUCGAGUCAUUUUUCAUUUGGUUAAAAAAUAUACCAUAUUUAUUUCUGUUUUUGUUGUUUCAUUUACCAUUGUGUGUCUGCACUUGAGAAUUUUGAAAGUUUAAGUAAUUUAAUAUCAUUCCUUCAACAUAUUUGUUAUUGUACUUUUUAUAGAAGAUAAAGGCCCACUGAACUGGUGCAUUACGUCA
rnacentral:misc_RNA from 1 species